CUGCACAUUAUGCCAAAUAAAAAAGAGUUUCAAGGUUCUAGAGACAUGGUUGUUUGAUAAUUUUCUGCCAGUUAAAAGUAACCCCUAACAUAUAUAUGGUACUUUACUUAAAUAAUAUAUUGCAUACCAAGAUAUUCUUACUAUGUCAAUUCACUAAACAGUAUAAGAAUAUAGAUGCAAUUAUUAAUGUGAAAAUCAGAUAACAAACCUCAAUAACUUCGCAC
rnacentral:misc_RNA from 1 species